rnacentral:rRNA from 1 species
UUGGAAGGGCAAGUCUGGUGCCAGCAGCCGCGGUAAUUCCAGCUCCAAUAGCGUAUAUUAAAAUUGUUGCAGUUAAAAAGCUCGUAGUUGAAUUUCUGCUGCAUUACAUAUCUCUUGUUUGAGUUUGUUUUUGUGGCUUAUUUCGGUUUGAUUUUUUUAUCUUUCCGGAUGAUUACUUUGAGAAAAUUAGAGUGCUCAAAGCAGGCUUUUGCCUUGAAUAGUUUAGCAUGGAAUAAUAAAGUAGGACUUUGGUUCUAUUUUGUUGGUUUUAGGUACCAAAGUAAUGGUUAAUAGGAACAGUUGGGGGCAUUCGUAUUUAACUGUCAGAGGUGAAAUUCUUAGAUUUGUUAAAGACGAACUACUGCGAAAGCAUUUGCCAAGGAUGUUUUCAUUAAUCAAGAACGAAAGUUAGGGGAUCGAAGACGAUCAGAUACCGUCGUAGUCCU